GGGUUGUGAGGUUAAGUGACUUAAGCGUACACGGUGGAUGCCUAGGCAGUCAGAGGCGAUGAAGGACGUGCUAAUCUGCGAUAAGCGUCGGUGAGCUGAUAUGAAGCAUUAUUAGCCGGCGAUGUCCGAAUGGGGAAACCCAGUGCAAUCCGUUGCACUAUCGUUAAGUGAAUACAUAGCUUAACGAGGCGAACCAGGGGAACUGAAACAUCUAAGUACCCUGAGGAAAAGAAAUCAACCGAGAUUCCCCAGUAGCGGCGAGCGAACGGGGAAGAGCCCAGAACCUGAAUCAGUUUGUGCAUUAGUGGAAGCGUCUGGAAAGUCGCGCGAUACCGGGUGAUAGCCCCGUACACGAAGGUGCACAGCUGUGAGUUCGAUGAGUAGGGCGGGACACGUGUUAUCCUGUCUGAAUAUGGGGGGACCAUCCUCCAAGGCUAAAUACUCCUGACUGACCGAUAGUGAACCAGUACCGUGAGGGAAAGGCGAAAAGAACCCCGGCGAGGGGAGUGAAAUAGAACCUGAAACCGUGUACGUACAAGCAGUGGGAGCAUCCUUCGGGGUGUGACUGCGUACCUUUUGUAUAAUGGGUCAGCGACUUAUAUUUUGUAGCAAGGUUAACCGAAUAGGGGAGCCGUAGGGAAACCGAGUCUUAACUGGGCGUCUAGUUGCAAGGUAUAGACCCGAAACCCGGUGAUCUAGCCAUGGGCAGGUUGAAGGUUGGGUAACACUAACUGGAGGACCGAACCGACUAAUGUUGAAAAAUUAGCGGAUGACUUGUGGCUGGGGGUGAAAGGCCAAUCAAACCGGGAGAUAGCUGGUUCUCCCCGAAAGCUAUUUAGGUAGCGCCUCGUGAACUCAUCUUCGGGGGUAGAGCACUGUUUCGGCUAGGGGGUCAUCCCGACUUACCAACCCGAUGCAAACUACGAAUACCGAAGAAUGUUAUCACGGGAGACACACGGCGGGUGCUAACGUCCGUCGUGAAGAGGGAAACAACCCAGACCGCCAGCUAAGGUCCCAAAGUCAUGGUUAAGUGGGAAACGAUGUGGGAAGGCAUAGACAGCCAGGAUGUUGGCUUAGAAGCAGCCAUCAUUUAAAGAAAGCGUAAUAGCUCACUGGUCGAGUCGGCCUGCGCGGAAGAUGUAACGGGGCUAAACCAUGCACCGAAGCUGCGGCAGCGACACUACGUGUUGUUGGGUAGGGGAGCGUUCUGUAAGCCUGUGAAGGUGGCCUGUGAGGGCUGCUGGAGGUAUCAGAAGUGCGAAUGCUGACAUAAGUAACGAUAAAGCGGGUGAAAAGCCCGCUCGCCGGAAGACCAAGGGUUCCUGUCCAACGUUAAUCGGGGCAGGGUAAGUCGACCCCUAAGGCGAGGCCGAAAGGCGUAGUCGAUGGGAAACAGGUUAAUAUUCCUGUACUUGGUGUUAUUGCGAAGGGGGGACGGAGAAGGCUAGACCGGCCGGGCGACGGUUGUCCCGGUUUAAGCGUGUAGGUGUGAUGACCUGGCAAAUCCGGUUAUCUCUAACACUGAGGCGUGAUGACGAGGCACUACGGUGCUGAAGUGGUUAAUGCCCUGCUUCCAGGAAAAGCCUCUAAGCUCUAGAUAACACUGAAUCGUACCCCAAACCGACACAGGUGGUCAGGUAGAGAAUACCAAGGCGCUUGAGAGAACUCGGGUGAAGGAACUAGGCAAAAUGGUGCCGUAACUUCGGGAGAAGGCACGCUGGCAUGUAGGUGAAGUCCCUCGCGGAUGGAGCUGAAGCCAGUCGAAGAUACCAGCUGGCUGCAACUGUUUAAUAAAAACACAGCACUCUGCAAACACGAAAGUGGACGUAUAGGGUGUGACGCCUGCCCGGUGCUGGAAGGUUAAUUGAUGGGGUCAGCCGCAAGGCGAAGCUCUUGAUCGAAGCCCCAGUAAACGGCGGCCGUAACUAUAACGGUCCUAAGGUAGCGAAAUUCCUUGUCGGGUAAGUUCCGACCUGCACGAAUGGCGUAAUGAUGGCCAGGCUGUCUCCACCCGAGACUCAGUGAAAUUGAACUCGCUGUGAAGAUGCAGUGUACCCGCGGCAAGACGGAAAGACCCCGUGAACCUUUACUAUAGCUUGACACUGAACAUUGAACCUUGAUGUGUAGGAUAGGUGGGAGGCUUUGAAGUGUGGACGCCAGUCUGCAUGGAGCCGACCUUGAAAUACCACCCUUUAAUGUUUGAUGUUCUAACCUGGUCCCGUAAUCCGGGAUAGGGACAGUGUCUGGUGGGUAGUUUGACUGGGGCGGUCUCCUCCCAAAGAGUAACGGAGGAGCACGAAGGUUAGCUAAUCCUGGUCGGACAUCAGGAGGUUAGUGCAAAGGCAUAAGCUAGCUUGACUGCGAGAGUGACGGCUCGAGCAGGUGCGAAAGCAGGUCUUAGUGAUCCGGUGGUUCUGAAUGGAAGGGCCAUCGCUCAACGGAUAAAAGGUACUCCGGGGAUAACAGGCUGAUACCGCCCAAGAGUUCAUAUCGACGGCGGUGUUUGGCACCUCGAUGUCGGCUCAUCACAUCCUGGGGCUGAAGUAGGUCCCAAGGGUAUGGCUGUUCGCCAUUUAAAGUGGUACGCGAGCUGGGUUUAGAACGUCGUGAGACAGUUCGGUCCCUAUCUGCCGUGGGCGUUGGAAGAUUGAGAGGGGCUGCUCCUAGUACGAGAGGACCGGAGUGGACGCACCGCUGGUGUUCGGGUUGUGAUGCCAAUUGCAUUGCCCGGUAGCUACGUGCGGAAGAGAUAAGCGCUGAAAGCAUCUAAGCGCGAAACUUGCCUCGAGAUGAGUCUUCCCUUGGACCUUGAGUCCACUGAAGGAACGUUUGAGACUAAGACGUUGAUAGGCUGGGUGUGUAAGCGUAGCGAUACGUUGAGCUAACCAGUACUAAUGAUCCGUGAGGCUUAACCUUACAACACCGAAGGUGUUUUAG
rnacentral:rRNA from 1 species